rnacentral:lncRNA from 1 species
UGAUCUUUACCAUUAAUAUUAUAUGUGAGAGAAAAAUAAAAAGGAGAAAGGACGGAAGGUCUCGAAUAACGAUUUAAGCGGUAUUAUUAAUUGCUUGCUGGUGGGUGGUUUGGGAGACUAGAAAUGGAAUCAUUUUUGCGAAGACCCAGGCCGACCCGAUCCGUGGGACUCAUAAGAUCAAACACCUGAUAGCUCAGUGGGGCAUUCCUGAUCCGUAGAGCUAUAGUUAGACCUCGUAGUCAGUAUAGAGUUAUCAAUUGUACUUUGCAAACAACAUCCGUUCUCCUGUUUUUUCCUUUUCGUCUCCGUCAACCUUGAGGCCUUGAUGCCUCACCCAUGUUGUUUAAUUCACCUUCUAUAUGAAUGAAGCGGGUAGCAUGCUAUCUUUUUCUCAAAAAAAAAAAAAA